CCCUUAGAUGCUCUGGGCUGCACGCGCGCUACACUGUUGCAUUCAGCGAGUUUUAACCAAGGCCGAAAGGUCAAGGUAAUCUUUGAAAGUGCAACGUGCUUGGGCUAGAUGAUUGCAAUUAUUCAUCUUAAACGAGGAAUGCCUAGUAAACGCAUGUCAUCAGCGUGCAUUGAUUACGUCCCUGCCCUUUGUACACACCGCCCGUCGCUCCUACCGAUUGGAUGAUCCGGUGAAUUCUCAGGAUCGUUGUCUUGGUGCUGUUUCAGCAUCCAGGAUAUGCGAGAAUUUGUGUAAACCUUAUCAUCUAGAGGAAGGAGAAGUCGUAACA
rnacentral:rRNA from 1 species